CCAGUGCAAAGGCCUAGAGGCUGGAGGAUGCUUGGCUGUGCACCAGGAACAGCAAGGAAGCUAGCAUGGCCGGAGUAGGGGGUGCAAGGUACCUUGCCGGCUUCCCACCAUUGUCUGAUAAGGCUGGUCCAGCCUACAUUGAAGAGCAUGAAACAGUCACCCUGCAAGGAGAAUGAUGACUGGCCAUGGAGGAGGAGUGGAACUGGCAAGGACACUGAGAGGCAGCAGCUAAUAGGGAAACAAGGAGACGUGGAAUCCUACAAGC